CCCAGUCAAGAGAUAUACUGAAGGGACUACUUUGCCUCUUCAUGUCUCCUCCACCUGAGAUGGUGGAGCUACCACCAUCUAGAAGUGAAGGCUGCAGGAAAUUUGCCCUGUCCGCAGAGGAUCCCGCAGUCUUGUGGGAUCUUCCAUAGACCUUAAUUAACGCUGUACUCUUCAGAAGUGACGUCGGCUCCUGGUGCUGAAGCACCAGGUGCAGAAGAGGACUCGCUGGAAGAAGAUGGCCUCACUCACAAA